rnacentral:lncRNA from 1 species
CAAGUCCUGGAGACAUGGACAUUAAUGUUAGAUGAAACUUAAAGUGAGUGGGUGGCUUCAGCUACAUGGUGAUUACCUUGUUUCAAAAAGAAAACAAAACAAAAGCAAAACAGAAAAACAUCACCCAAAAGGUAUUUGCCUAAUUCGUGAUCAUAUAUAGAUUGUGGAAGCUUGGCUCAAGUGCUGACUAAAAUUAAAGAAACUUAUUCACAAUUCACAAAAAGUAAGCUCUCAAGUGCUAGCCAUGUCUAGUGGCACAUGUCUAUAGGCCUAGGUACUCAGGAAGCUAGGUUGGAAGGAUCAUAGAGCUUAGGAGUUUUCAGCCAGGGUUGCAUAGGGAGACUCCCCUCCCCCAAACAAAACAAAACCAACAACUAGAAAGAUGGCUCAGUGGGUCAGAACACUUGCUGUACAAGCAUGACACCCAGCGGCCUCCUCUAUGCACACACAUGCAUGCAGCACACACACACAGUACAUCCGCAGCACCUACAUAAAAGCCAGGUGUGGCCACACAGGCCUAUAACUCCAGUGCUGGGAGAGGGGAGAAACAGAUGCUUUACUGGUGCUUACUGAUUAGCCAGCAUAGCCAGGAAACUGGAAACUCUAGGGAUAAGACAGUGCUAAAGCAGCCCAGCCAACAUCCUCCGGCCUCUGGUCUCUACAUGAGCAGUGAUGAACAUGAAUAUUCAUGUGCACACACAUGAAUGCACUCCACAUACAAAUGCAUACACAAGCCUUGCAAAGGCAGUUAAUUAACUUUCAAGUAAUGUUUUUGGUUGAAUUUGUGAAGUCUCAAAGGAUCCUAAAGCUUAAAAUUGUGUUAAGAUCUGUGGGGCACCUCAUAUACUAAGGAUGCUGACAUUUAUGUCUACAGUGAAUACAUUUUGUGUGAGUUACUCUUAAUAUUGAAUCGCGAUUCUGCAUUUUCAGAAACAUCUGUCUCUUAAUGCAGUUCAAUUGGUCAAAAUCAGACAUCCAUAUUCUUAGAGAUGGGGCCAGAGAUAGGAACCACCUGUGUCCUUAUUUCUGCUGCUAAAUAUGGCAGUAUACUUGAUAAUGAAAGUAAGGACUCUUUCUUUUAGAGAGUAUCUCAAAGAUCUGAUAACUAGCAGAUAUGAUCUCAUCUUUUUAAACUUUUCUUUAUUCCCUGUCCCAUACCACAAAGAGAAGGAAAAGAUGCAUUUUAUAGUCUUUAAAGUUUAUGUGCUACUUAAUAAUCUUUAAAACUGACGUCUUUGAAGUAUAAAUUAAAUUAGAACUUUGAAUGUAAAUCCAUUUAGGCUUUGUGUCCAUUUGGGCAUACUUUUUAUUUCCUUUUUUUCCCCCUAAAAUUACAAAAUCUUGAAGUCACUGUCAACAGAAUGAAGGGAACAUUGCUAACUACAAAGCUGGAAUUAUGCCUUUUUAUAUUUAGUAUUUGUGAACAUCAAGAGUUUGAGCAUAAUUUAGAAGUAUGCCUUGUAUGGUACUUUGAUUGAUUUUUUUUUUUAUAUUAAGAAUUCCCCUACUGUCCCUCAUUCAACUGGGAAUAAGACUGUAUGUGUCUGUAGAACUGCAGAGUAAACUAAGGUAUUUUCAGACUCCCUAGCCCUGUGGUAAAAAUUAAGUGGUACCCUAUUUUGCCCAUAAGAGGAAAAAUUCUUGAGUUUUCAUACCCAGCGCAUCAGUGUUUAAUGUGAUGGAUAAUAUUAACAUUUUGAGUUACAUUUAUAGUUUGAGUUUUCUCAUUACAUAUCCCAGACUGGUCUGAAAUUUAGUGUAUAGCCCAGUCUAGUCUUGAACUUGAGAUUUCCCUGCCCCAGCCUCAUGAGUUCUAUGCCUGCAGGCAUGUGCUAUCACACUCUAGUUGCACAAGUCCUGAUCUACAUGGACCUAAUUAAUGAUUAAUCAUUAUUUUUUAAAUUUCUUAGGUAGAAUUCUUACUCUUAAUCCAAAACUAGCCUUUUUUUGUUGUUGUUGGGUUUUUUUUUUGUUUUGUUUUUGUUUUGUUUUGUUUUGUUUUGUUUUGUUUUGUUUUGUUUUCGAGGCUGGGUUUUGUAGAUUAGGCUGGCCUCAAACUCAGAAAUUCACCUGCCUCUACCUCCUGAGUGCUGGGACAACUCACUGUGCAGCCAAGGACGAUGACCUUGGACUCCUGGUGCUCCUACUUCUGCCUCUGAAAUGCUGGGAUUCCAGGCAUGUGUCACCAUACCUAGAUCCUUCUCUACACUUUAUUUAUUUAUUUAUUUAUUUAUUUAUUUAUUUAUUUAUGUGGGGCAUGCAAAUGUAGAGAUCAGGAAUUGGUUCUGUAGGCUUGGCAGCAAGUGCCCCUACUCACUGAGCCAUCUCACCACACCAGUCCUGGCUGGGAUGAAUCAGUUCCCUUUUAAUCCAGAGAGUCCUAUGUUUGGUCUGAAUUAUCUUUUCUUUCCUAGGAUUGUCUAGCUCUGGACCCCUAGUGAAAGGAAGGCUCAGUACUAUUAGCACUCUCAUCAGAGGUUAUGGGAGAAAAGAAAAAACCCAAAUUGAACCAAAAUCCAUUGCUUUUCGAAGCUUUGGUAUACGAUGUGAUGGCAAUCCAUACAAUUUAUGUUCACACAGUAAUCCCUGUGGAUUACACAGUUGCACAAGUCCUGAUGUCCAUGGACCUAAUUAAUGAUGGGAGUGAUAUGGCCUGCAGCAUCAGCUCCCAUGCCAUGUGUUCUGCCAGGUUAACUAGAAGAGAAACCCAGUCUUAGUUCAGUGGCAAUAUCUACUUUAAGCUUAAGGUUUUGAAGGUAAAUUGUGGUGGAGACAAAGUAUAGCUAUACCAUUUUUGUGACAGAAAAAAUAGAGACUUUCAUGUGGAGUGAUGGAGAAGACAUUAUGAAAUAUUCAGGGUUUUUUUUCUAGUUAGUAAUAUCUCUGUCAGCUUUUUUCUAGUAAGUAAUCAACAAUGUUAAGAAAAACAUUUCACUGCACAGUCUUAUUUUGUUUUGGAAUGAGUACAGGAGUCACCUAAGCUAGCAGGUCUUGGUACAAAGAAAAUCUUCUAGUCCUGGGCUUGCUCUCAUCCUGCUGCUUGCAAUAAGGAAUUCUUUAUCUUCAGAUUAUCUGCAUGGUGGCCAAAUUUUAAUCUAAGUCUUUUUCUUCCUGCCAAAUGGCAUAGAGCAUACCCUUGUGCUGCUCAGCCAAUAUGUGCUUUAAGAAAGUCAAUUCAUUUUAAUAUUAGUCUAGGCAGAAAGCUGCAGGGGAAAAUUCACAUAUGUUCCCAAGGCAAAUAGAAAGGUCCUUUGGAUUUUCCAGUGCCUUGGAUUAUCUGUGCAACUUUUUUUCAGUUGUUGAAUAAUUCAUAUUUUUGGACCAGUUGGCUGUGUAGUUUAGCAAAUAUCAGAGCCAACUGAGUUUUCCAGACUUCUUCCUUAAAAGUGAUAUUAUUAAUGAUGCAUUUGACAACCGUGUGUAUAGUGGAGGAGUAAUGUGGAUGAUACUAUUUCUACUUUUUAAUUGUAGUCUUCCAAAACCUAUUUGUAAUCUGUCUCCACCUAAAAACAACCCACAGGCAACCGAAAGAGAUGGUGGAGGGGACUAUGAUGUAGCUUCAGUGGUAACAUGCUUGCUCAUCAUGAACGAGGGCCUAGACCCCAUCCUUAGCACUGCAGGUAAAAUCAUGAAAGAAAGAGAUGACGUUUCACAUGAGUAGAAAGGCAAGAGAGGAACAGUUGCCUUUCAGGAGAACAGUGUGGGCCCGAGACUUACAAAUGUACUAUAAGCUUCUUUACAAUGGGAAGAAAUCAACUUGGAAACUUACACAAAUAAUAUUAAAGGUGUAACUUUCUAUUCCACUUAUUAGAACAAAAUGGAGUUUUGCCAAGGAGCUAGUGGCAGACUAGAACCCGUAUUUCCUUCUCUAAGUCUAUGUUUUUCUUCCAUU